UUAGAAUAGAAUUUAAGGUCUAAUCUGCCCACUGAUUUAUUAAAUGGCCGCAGUAAUUUGACUGUGCAAAGGUAGCAUAAUAAUUAGUUUUUUAAUUAAAAGCUUGUAUGAAUGAUUGGACGAGAUAAAUACUGUCUCUAAAUAAUAGAUAGAAUUUAAUUUUUAAGUUAAAAAGCUUAAAUAAUAAUAAAAGACGAGAAGACCCUAUAGAUCUUUAUAAUAUUUUUUAUAUAUUUAAUUAAGAUUAUUUUAUUAUUUAUAAUAAAUAUUAUUGUAUUGGGGUAAUAGAAAGAUUAAAUAAAUUCUUUAUUAUAAAUAAAUAUAAAUUAAUAAAUUAAUGAUCCUUUAUUAAAGAUUAUAAGAUUAAGUUACCUUAGGGAUAACAGCGUAAUUUUUUUGAAGAGUUCUUAUCGAUAAAAAAGUUUGCGACCUCGAUGUUGGAUUAAAAAUUAUUCUAGGUGUAGUAGUUUAGAAUUUUGGUCUGUUCGACCAUUAAAUUUUUACAUGAUCUGAGUUUAGACCGGUGUAAGCCAGGUCGGUUUCUAUCUUUAUUAAACUAAUAUAUUUUAGUACGAAAGGACCAAAUAUAAAAUAUAUUAAUAUUUAAAUUUUUGAAUUAUA
rnacentral:rRNA from 1 species